UACGGGGGGGGUAAGCGUUGUUCGGAAUUACUGGGCGUAAAGGGCGCGUAGGCGGCCUUCUCAGUCGGACGUGAAAUCCCCAGGCUUAACUUGGGAACUGCGUCCGAUACUGGAUGGCUUGAGUGCGGGAGAGGGAUGUGGAAUUCCAGGUGUAGCGGUGAAAUGCGCAGAUAUCGGGAAGAACACCGGUGGCGAAGGCGGCUCUCUGGGCCUGUCCUGACGCUCAGGCGCGAAAGCUAGGGGAGCGAACAGG
rnacentral:rRNA from 1 species